rnacentral:rRNA from 1 species
GCGUGCACUUCUCCCCUAGUAGGACGUCGCGACCCGUUGGGUGUCGGCCUACGGCCCGGUUGGUCGACUGUCGGGCGAGCGUUCGCGCGUUUCGCCUCGGCAGACCAUCGGUAGCCCGGCCGGCUGCUCGGCGGUAUAGAACGCAUAACAAUGGUAUAGAGCCGCACACUCGUGUGCGUCCCGGCUCGUCGGCAGGCUCGCCUCGCUCGGAUUUACGGACCUAGCGCCGUUGCCGGGUGCUUGGCGCGGCCGUUAGUCGACGAUGUCCUCGGACCGGCUCCACAAUCUUAAAAAUACCAGUCGGCGACGCUACUGCUUUGGGUACUUUCAGGACCCGUCUUGAAACACGGACCAAGGAGUCUAACAUGUGCGCGAGUCAUUGGGAUUUUUUUAAACCUAAAGGCGCAAUGAAAGUGAAGGUCGUACCUUAGCGUCGACCGAGGGAGGAUGGCUCGUGUCACGAUGCGAGCCCGCACUCCCGGGGCGUCUCGUGCUCAUUGCGAGCAGAGGCGCACCCAGAGCGUACACGUUGGGACCCGAAAGAUGGUGAACUAUGCCUGGUCAGGACGAAGUCAGGGGAAACCCUGAUGGAGGUCCGUAGCGAUUCUGACGUGCAAAUCGAUCGUCGGAACUGGGUAUAGGGGCGAAAGACUAAUCGAACCAUCUAGUAGCUGGUUCCCUCCGAAG